rnacentral:rRNA from 1 species
CCUACGGGUGACAGCAGUGGGGGAUAUUGCGCAAUGGGCGAAAGCCUGACGCAGCGACGCCGCGUGAGGGAUGAAGGUCUUCGGAUCGUAAACCUCUGUCAGCAGGGAAGAACGGUCACUGUGCUAAUCAGCAGUGAAUUGACGGUACCUGCAAAGGAAGCACCGGCUAACUCCGUGCCAGCAGCCGCGGUAAUACGGAGGGUGCGAGCGUUAAUCGGAAUUACUGGGCGUAAAGCGCUCGUAGGCGGGAUGUCAAGUCAAGGGUGAAAUCCCCGCGCUCAACGGGGGAACUGCCUUUGAAACUGGCAAACUGGAGUGUGUGAGAGGAUAGUGGAAUUCCAGGUGUAGGAGUGAAAUGCGUAGAUAUCUGGAGGAACAUCAGUGGCGAAGGCGACUAUCUGGCACAUAACUGACGCUGAGGAGCGAAAGCGUGGGUAGCAAACAGGAUUAGAUACCCGAGUAGUC